rnacentral:rRNA from 1 species
GUGCGAGCGUUAAUCGGAAUUACUGGGCGUAAAGCGUGCGCAGGCGGUUUGGUAAGUCAGAUGUGAAAUCCCCGGGCUCAACCUGGGAACUGCAUUUGAGACUGCCAGGCUGGAGUUUGGCAGAGGGGGGUGGAAUUCCACGUGUAGCAGUGAAAUGCGUAGAGAUGUGGAGGAACACCGAUGGCGAAGGCAGCCCCUGGGCCAAUACUGACGCUCAUGCACGAAAGCGUGGGGAGCAAAACAGGAUUAGAUACCCUGGUAGUCCACGCCCUAAACGAUGUCAACUAGGUGUUGGGAGGGUUAAACCUUUAGUGCCGUAGCUAACGCGUGAAGUUGACCGCCUGGGGAGUACGGCCGCAAGGCUAAAACUCAAAGGAAUUGACGGGGACCGCACAAGCGGUGGAUGAUGUGGAUUAAUUCGAUGCAACGACGAAAAACCUUACCUACCCUUGACAUGUCAGGAAUCCCGAAGAGAUUUGGAGUGCUCGCAAGAGAG